UACGGAGGUUCCUAGCGUUGUUCGGAAUUACUGGGCGUAAAGGGAGCGCAGGCGGAUUGAUAAGUCUAAAGUGGAAUCCCGGGGCUCAACCUCGGACGUGCUUUGGAUACUGUCAGUCUUGAGUUCGUGAGAGGAAGGCGGAAUUCAGGGUGUAGCGGUGAAAUGCUUAGAUAUCCUGAGGAACACCAGUGGCGAAAGCGGCCUUCUGGCACGAAACUGACGCUGAGGCUCGAAAGCGUGGGUAGCGAAC
rnacentral:rRNA from 1 species